rfam:Schistosoma haematobium scaffold2125_16, whole genome shotgun sequence.
AGCUUUCUGAAUGCGUGCUGAGAUUUCGUCAGACACUGACCGAUUACGGCUGAUGAGACUUCCAAGAUAAGUGAAGUU